rnacentral:snoRNA from 1 species
AGUUCCUGCAUACUGCACUGUGGCCUGAAAACUCUCUCAAGAAAGUAAGUUGCUCCAUGAUGGAACUGAGGAUCUGAGGAA